GUUUAUAAUGGAAGGUUUAACCGAGGUCAGGAUGGGUUUAUAAUGGAAGGUUUAACCGAGUUCAGGACGGGUUUAUAAUGGAAGGUUUAACCAAGGUCAGGACGGGUUUAUAAUGGAAGGUUUAACCGAGUUCAGGACGGGUUUAUAAUGGAAGGUUUAACCGAGUUCAGGACGGGUUUAUAAUGGAAGGUUUAACUGAGGUCAGGAUGGGUUUAUAAUGGAAGGUUUAACCGAGGUCAGGAUGGGUUUAUAAUGGAAGGUUUAACCGAGGUCAGGAUGGGUUUAUAAUGGAAGGUUUAACCGAGUUCAGGACGGGUUUAUAAUGGAAGGUUUAACCAAGGUCAGGACGGGUUUAUAAUGGAAGGUUUAACCAAGGUCAGGACGGGUUUAUAAUGGAAGCUUUAGCCGAGGUCAGGACGGGUUUAUAAUGGAAGCUUUAGCCGAGGUCAGGAUGGGUCUAUAAUGGAAGGUUUAGCCAAGGUCGGGACAGGUUACCUGUGCAUCAUUGGGCUGUGGUAAUUGGUUGAGUGUGUCAGCUGACCACAGUGCAGUGGUAGACAGGAAGAGAGAUACAAAUAAUGGGAGACACGGAGAGAAAUGGGG